CCACCUGUCCUGUUCACCAAUGUCGAGAUCAUUAGCCAAAUCUCUCUUUCUACAGGAAUAUGACUCGUGAAGCCAACUAGGUCUGGAGAGUUCUGGGAAUUCUGAUGGUGUUAUUGCUUACCCACUAACAGGAAACCAAAUGUUUUGUUUUCAGGCUUGCAAUGAGUUGGCCGGGCUGUGAGCCCAAGGCCCGAAGGUGGCCAAACCAAGUCCUUGCACCCCCUCGAGGCCUGGCCUGUGGAAGAGGCAGAAUUAGGCUACGGCCCCACCUGACGCUUCCCCUAAUUGGCGUUCCUGACACAGACCCUGGGUCCAGAGAAUAUCAGCCGCAGCAUUAAAAGGGAAACACUGUGGAAAGAGUCAACAGUGGACCUGGAAGUGUGUUUAGGACAGGGAUUAGGACCAGCAGAGGGAGCCAGCAGACCAUGCUUGAAGAAACUGCUCUAAUAAUUGGAAUUUCCAUCUCCUACAUCGUCCUUGAUCAUCGUAGAUUAUCAUAAACUGUUUUCUCCCGACAGCUUCUAUGGCAGAUGAAGACACUAGGAAAGUACUAGUUUAACAAGUCAGAAGUAAAGCUGCGUUUCUGGAUAGAAAAUGCAAAUAGAGGUUUUUAUUUCAGCUUUAAAUUGGCCCAUGAUAGAGUUGAGGUGCCUUUCACCAACCAAAAAGAGACAGAUCUGUCUGCCCUAGCUGUGCUCGGUUCAUUUCAGCUGAGAAGUUUAAUUCUAGUCUCACCUUGCCUGGGUGGGCACAGAGUAUGGAACCCCUUUAAGAGAAUGGGGAAGUCCGCCUCUAGUUGUGGCUGUUGUUUGGCUCUGGAUUGUUUUCCUUGCUUGAGAGAGAGGGCAUGGUUGAAUGUGCAUUCAAAGGGAAUCUUGUCCAGUGAAGACAGUUGAGGUUGUCCUACGAAGGUACAGCGAGAGGCAAAUAGGAAAAUUAUUUGUUAAAAUAAUAAACAUGUUUUCACUCCGUAUUUUGAGGCAAAAGCUCAUGGGGGAUUAGAGAAUGUUCUCCCGACAAUGGGUGUCUGUCUGGAUAGAGUGUGAUGCCGUGUGGGAAGGAGUUGUUGUUCCGUGUGCCCAUGGCAUC
rnacentral:lncRNA from 1 species